CAGUCUGCUUGCAGGAGGAGAAUCUACUGUCUGCAACUUUGCCCACAACGUGCAAUGUCUGGAAGCAACACCAUCAUCGGCAGCUGAGUCUGAUCGCCGCUUCAUGUUGAAUAUACUUGUGUACAGUAUAUAGUAAUGUUUGAAUAAAUGUUAUAUUGAAGA